CAAUAGCGUAUAUUAAAGCUGUUGUGGUUAAAAAGCUCGUAGUUGGAUUUCUGUCAAGGACAACUGGUCCGCCCUCCGGGUGAGCACAUAGUUUGGUCUUGGCAUCUUGCUGGAAGCUGUUGCUGCACUUGGCUGUGUGGCGCAGCGUCCAGCACUUUCACUUUGAGGAAAUUGGAGUGUUUCAAGCAGGCACAUGCCUUUGGACACAGUAGCAUGGAAUAAUUAGAUUGGGCUUUUGCUCCAAUUUGUCGGUUUCUGGAGCUGAGGUGAGAAUUAAUGGGGAUUGUUGGGGGCAUCCGAAUUUAGCCGUCAGAGGUGAAAUUCUUGGAUCUGCUAAAGACGGACAACUGCGAAAGCGUUUGCCCAGGAUGUUUUCAUUGA
rnacentral:rRNA from 1 species